rnacentral:rRNA from 1 species
UACUCCCGCCGGCGACCGGCGCACGGGUGAGUAACACGUAUGAAACCUGCCCGUAGCAGGGGGAUAAGCGGAAGAAAUUCCGUCUAAUACCGCGUAACAACCCGAGGAGGCAUCUCCUCGGGUUUAAAGGAAGUGAUUCCGGCUACGGAUGGUCAUGCGUCGCAUUAGCUAGUUGGCGGGGUAACGGCCCACCAAGGCGACGAUGCGUAGGGGUUCUGAGAGGAAGGUCCCCCACACUGGUACUGAGACACGGACCAGACUCCUACGGGAGGCAGCAG